rnacentral:piRNA from 1 species
UCAAGUUUGAAUGGUCGUGUUGAUC